rnacentral:lncRNA from 1 species
AGAUGAAGUUAGCCUUCUCAGCUAGCCUUUAGAUUUGUCUGUUAACAGUAGAAAUGCUAUAAUAAAUCGGUAACAUAUGUUGCCAGGCAGGGAAAAGUGGUAGACAAGAGCCUGGGAGACCAAGCCAAGUACCAUGUGAAAGAAUUCAAAUUUCAAUCUAUUUGCUGCUAAUUACCAUCUGAAAAGUAAUUUGAAAGUGUUGUUACUUGCUUAUACUCUUCCUCAUUUUUCUUUCUUUCUUUCUUUUUUUUCUCUUCAGAUUGCUUUCUUACCCAAAUUAUCUCCGUGAUUGCCUGCCCUGAGGCUUUGGGCCAAUGCAAACUACAGAAUGGCAAGUCUUACAAUCUCGUCUCCUUGUCUGGCAUCCAUCCUCCUUCCAGAAUGAACAGAGGUAUAUCCAUAAACACUGGACCUCGAUUUCACAGCCUCAUCCAAAGCCAGGCAAUUCUUGAGGCAAACAAACAAAGGGGUGUGAGUGAUUUCAUUUAUUUUGAUAAUCCUCUGUCUGCACAGGGGCACUUUGCUGUCUUUGUCAAAGUGAAUGACAACAAUUUGGCCAACUCUCUCUGAGCUGCACUCAACAGUGACAGGCAAAUUAUCAGA